AACUGCUGCACGUCAUACACAGAAACAUUCAGCUCAGCGUUGUCCAAAGUUCCAGAUCAAAGUGUUUCUACAUUUUAGUUUGUUACCCUUUUCCAUAGAGGAGAGUAACAUAUUAGAUAUGUCUAUUAGUAUGCUGUAACACAGUUCAACAAUGCCACAGAUUAAAGCCCCAUAUGACCAUAGAAUCAAAUGAACACCUGUCCGAUAUGCAAACAAUGAGUCUCGAACACAUAUUUAGCCAAACGCUGCGUAUACUGUAUCAUUAAGUGGGCGUAGCUAAUCGUACCAAAUAUACUUGUGCUCCGGGUGACUCUGCAAAUCAGCGGACCUGAUCGGGGCCUUUCGGGGGCCAGGCCAAGCUAACCAGACCUUUCCAUGACCCUGUUCAGUGGUGACAGCUGCACCUGGACUCCGUGGAACAACACACUAUCCCGGGACUGCCCAAACAACGGCUCCUUCAAGCCAGACAGGCAGGCAGUCAGACCGGGUCGAGAGCAGGACCUGACUCAGCCCCAGCCACCCAGUCAUUCCGGGCCGUAGGGGGAUUUUCCUCCGGACGGAUAUAUUCUCAAACAUGAGAAAAAAAACAGACUUGUGGUCACCUCGAUGUUGGAUGUGAGAUUUGAUGGAAAAAAAACCUGACAUCUCCCAAACCGAGGAACAGGGAGCAACACAGAUCCAAACAAGCCAAGUGGACUGGCAGCGUCUCAGAAACCCCGGGAUCCCUCCUAAAGGAACACUGUGGAGGAUGCCAGCGUGUGAGCGAGGCAUGCAUGGAACGACGUAGUAUCACAAAGUGAGGCCAGCGGUCUGAUUUAGGAGGCUCCGAACCUAAAACUUGAUUGUUAGCCUGAUCGAGACCAUCUAAGGCAGAGAUGGUGCUUGAUGGAUGGCAGCAGAGCCUGUGACUGACCAGGGACCUGUGGUGCCACUCAACAGAGUCCCUGCAGUUUCUCCACUGAGUAAAAACACCACAUCCUGUCUGCAAGCCCACCCCCAUCGCUCCCCGUCCAUUGUCAUCAUAUGCAGACCUAGUAACACUGCUACAUCUUUAUGGUGUUCGACAAACUGCUCCUUAACAACUGGACCCUUUUACAUUUCUAUAAUCUGCCUGGGCAUGACUGUAUUAGCCCGAGUGUUGCUCUGUUGACAGCCGGUGUUUCACUUUCCACCACCACUGGGUGCCUUUCCAUCAUCAUGAAUACAGUUUUUUUUUUCUCUUUUCCAUAUGUUGUAUGUCGUUUCAUAUCCUUUCGGGUAUUCAUGUUGCGAGAAUACUCCGUUGCCAUGAAUGAAAAGACCUACAGUAUAGUGUGCGGAAAAUAAACAACGUGCUGUCGGUUUAA